GACGAACGCUGGCGGCGUGCUUAACACAUGCAAGUCGAACGGAAAGGCCCCGCUUUUGUGGGGUGCUCGAGUGGCGAACGGGUGAGUAACACGUGAGUAACCUGCCCUUGACUUUGGGAUAACUUCAGGAAACUGGGGCUAAUACCGGAUAGGAGCUCCUGCUGCAUGGUGGGGGUUGGAAAGUUUCGGCGGUUGGGGAUGGACUCGCGGCUUAUCAGCUUGUUGGUGGGGUAGUGGCUUACCAAGGCUUUGACGGGUAGCCGGCCUGAGAGGGUGACCGGCCACAUUGGGACUGAGAUACGGCCCAGACUCCUACGGGAGGCAGCAGUGGGGAAUAUUGCUCAAUGGGCGGAAGCCUGAUGCAGCAACGCCGCGUGCGGGAUGACGGCCUUCGGGUUGUAACCCGCUUUCGCCUGUGACGAAGCGUGAGUGACGGUAAUGGGUAAAGAAGCACCGGCUAACUACGUG
rnacentral:rRNA from 1 species